GGUAAGAGGAUGCUAGUGGCCGCGGGUAGACAGGGGGUGCGAGGGGUGAUCGGACUUACUGGGCGUGAAGCGCCGGUAGGUGGUUUGUUAAGUUGGACGUGAAAGCCCCGGGCUCAACCGGGGAACUGCAUCCAAAACUGGCAAGCUAGAGUACGGUAGAGGGUGGUUGAAUUUCCUGUGUAGCGGUGAAAUGCGUAGAUAUAGGAAGGAACACCAGUGGCGAAGGCGACCACCUGGACUGAUACUGACACUGAGGUGCGAAAGCGUGGGGAGCAAACAGGAUUAGAUACCCUUGUAGUC
rnacentral:rRNA from 1 species